GGUGUGGAGCCUUGCGGGGAGCAGGUCGCUCGCAUCCAGGAGGAGCAGGGAGAGGUGUGUGGUGGACCUCGGCAUGGGGAGCCAUAGCCCAGCAGUUGGGAUGGGAGAGUGGAGCAGGAAAAGGUUUUGCGGGAAGUUGUGGAGAGAAGCAGUUGAGUGCUGAGAAGAGCCUGAGCAGGU